rnacentral:rRNA from 1 species
UGCUCCUGAUGUAGCGGCGGACGGGUGAGUAACACGUGGGUAACCUGCCUGUAAGACUGGGAUAACUCCGGGAAACCGGGGCUAAUACCGGAUGGUUGUUUGAACCGCAUGGUUCAAACAUAAAAGGUGGCUUCGGCUACCACUUACAGAUGGACCCGCGGCGCAUUAGCUAGUUGGUGAGGUAACGGCUCACCAAGGCAACGAUGCGUAGCCGACCUGAGAGGGUGAUCGGCCACACUGGGACUGAGACACGGCCCAGACUCCUACGGGAGGCAGCAGUAGGGAAUCUUCCGCAAUGGACGAAAGUCUGACGGAGCAACGCCGCGUGAGUGAUGAAGGUUUUCGGAUCGUAAAGCUCUGUUGUUAGGGAAGAACAAGUACCGUUCGAAUAGGGCGGUACCUUGACGGUACCUAACCAGAAAGCCACGGCUAACUACGUGCCAGCAGCCGCGGUAAUACGUAGGUGGCAAGCGUUGUCCGGAAUUAUUGGGCGUAAAGGGCUCG